CUGUGUUGUUGCUUCUUCUGGCAUUGCUUUCAGCGGUAAAGAAAACUCAUCUUCACAUUGAACCAGAUAAUUGAGUUAGAAAUUGAUUGUAUCAUGCCAUAGUUUUGCUUGUGUGUGUUUUGUGAUAUUCUGAUAUAAAAGUACAAAUCCUUUUGUGUCUUUUGUACUCAUCACUCACCUGCUUUCUCUCUCCUCCUUCUAGUUAGUUAUGUUAAGGUUUUUGCUUAAUAAUAAAUGCAUCUACUUGGGCAUAUGAAAAUAUACAGGAGGGUUUGGGACAUACCUCUUUGGCAUGAGUGAAAGAAUUGCGACCCAAUCAGGAGAUGUUUCUCGUGGCGUCAAGGACCCUUCUUUGGGUUGGAUUAUCGGUUUCCUCUUUGUUGUCAGCUUUCUUGGCCUCUUCUCAGUUGUUCCCCUUAGAAAGGUUGGUCACAGUUUUUGUUUCCUGCUUUCUCUCUUGUGAACCAAAAAGGAACAAUGAGUUUAUGAGAUCUUGCAUUGCCAAUUUCUUUGUUUUGCAGAUAAUGGUAAUAGACUUCAAACUAACAUACCCAAGUGGCACUGCAACAGCUCAUCUUAUCAACAGCUUUCACACCCCUCAAGGCGCCAAGCUAGCCAAGUACUAACCUUUCACUUUACUUUAUGCGCUUUUAAGUCUUGAGUUCUCUGCUUCCUUUUGACUCGAUGCUGCUCUCUGCAUCAGGAAACAAGUGAGGGUGUUAGGGAAAUUUUUCUCUUUUAGCUUCUUCUGGAGUUUCUUCCAAUGGUUCUUUACCGGAGGAGAAAAUUGUGGGUUCUCCAACUUCCCAACAUUUGGACUCAAAGCUUACCAGUACAAGUAAGCUCAAUAAACAAUAUAUGUAACUUGAAAUUAUAGAGCAUUGGGUUGAACCACAAUCUGGCUUAUUGUUUUGUCAGUAAUACCAAUGCUCGUUCCUUUCUGGUGAGAGCCUGAUGUACAAACAGGUUCUACUUUGAUUUUUCAGCAACAUAUGUUGGUGUUGGAAUGAUA
rnacentral:lncRNA from 1 species